rnacentral:rRNA from 1 species
ACGGGAGGCAGCAGUGGGGAAUAUUGCACAAUGGGGGAAACCCUGAUGCAGCGACGCCGCGUGAGUGAAGAAGUAUUUCGGUAUGUAAAGCUCUAUCAGCAAGGAAGAAAAUGACGGUACUUGACUAAGAAGCCCCGGCUAACUACGUGCCAGCAGCCGCGGUAAUACGUAGGGGGCAAGCGUUAUCCGGAUUUACUGGGUGUAAAGGGAGCGUAGACGGCAUAGCAAGUCUGAAGUGAAAUGCAUGGGCUCAACCCAUGAACUGCUUUGGAAACUGUUAAGCUAGAGUGCAGGAGAGGUAAGUGGAAUUCCUAGUGUAGCGGUGAAAUGCGUAGAUAUUAGGAGGAACACCAGAGGCGAAGGCGGCUUACUGGACUGUAACUGACGUUGAGGCUCGAAAGCGUGGGGAGCAAACAGGAUUAGAUACCCUGGUA